UACGUAGGGGGCAAGCGUUGUCCGGAUUCACUGGGCGUAAAGAGCGUGUAGGCGGCCAGGUAGGUCGGUUGUGAAAACUGGAGGCUCAACCUUCAGAGGUCGACCGAAACCAUCUGGCUAGAGUCCGGGAGAGGAGAGUGGAAUUCCUGGUGUAGCGGUGAAAUGCGCAGAUAUCAGGAAGAACACCCGUGGCGAAAGCGGCUCUCUGGAACGGUACUGACGCUGAGGUGCGAAAGCGUGGGGAGCAAACAGG
rnacentral:rRNA from 1 species